CACUACCCCAGCUCUUUGCUGUGCUGCGUUGCUAUUUUGGUACCCAGGAAGCUGGCCGGAGAAGGGAAAGUCUGACCCCUCUUCCUGUCAACAAUGACUUUCUGCUUGGAGCUGACCCCUCUGGGGAACGAUCAGAAGGCAGAGUGACCAGAGACAAGAGGGAGGACUGGCAGCCUCCUGCGGGGAGAUGGCGGGGCUGAUGCUGGUGAGCGGAAGUGAAGGUACAGCAACCCAGGCGGCUUCAUCUCCCCGCCUGGCUACUGAAGUGCGGCCUCCAGCAAGGCUCUCCCAAGUCCCAUGGAAGACUCCAGAACAAUGGGAAGAAUGCUUGUUGCAUUUCGCCAAGUUGCUCUCAGCUUUUUCCUGCCUGUGUGCCAUCCUUCUGCAAACCACCAGCACUGGCCGCCUUGCACAGCGAUAAUCAGCCUGUCAGUCAAUAAACUGAAGAUGUUGGUAGUGCUCUGGGAUUGGUGGCCAGCAGCGAGAGCCCUGAGAGCUAUAAAUUCAAGAUGAGAAUUGAGAUGUUGCCAAGGUUUCAUAGAGUCCCUGAUUUACUAGGAAAUUGUUCCCUAGCCUCGACUGCUGGCCCUGUUAUGCAGGGGACUCUGUGUGGGCUGGGGGGAUGGUUGAAGGAAAGAAAAAAUAAAAGACCAGAAGCCAGUGUUGAGACACAGCGGAUAGGACACUCCCUACCCCAUUGCAUUUGGUCCCCUAUGGUCUGCUAUUUAACCUGUCUUAACCAUGGUCUGAUUUGCACGUGCUUGCUUAUUUUCUCCAACUGUUUUAUAGAUCCCUUGAAG